UAAUAAUGCACCAAAUAUAUAUAACACAAUCACAACUUUUUAACAUAUGGGAAAAGAUAUAUAGAGAUGUAAUUGGUUAGUUGUUUGCAAUUUCAUCAUUUGCAUAUUGCAAUUAUUCAAAUCAAUGCAUUUUUCAAUUUCACCAAUAGAGUGCGCUGGAGAGUCGUCACAUAAACAUGAAUUUAAAAUGCAUUUAGCUAAGUUCAGCUUGAUUUCUCACUUUCGUAAUUAACUCUGUGAGUUACUUACCAAAGUUUGAAUUCAAAGUGAAUUUUAAAUAAAAAACUAGACUGGCCUGGUGCAAGAAUCAAAGGAUUACUCCUCCUUGCUCCCCCAUAAGUAACAUACCCGAGUUGAAUGUGUGUGGAGGCUGAGUGUGAUUGUGUGUGGGGUUUGGCAGACUGUGAUUGUGCAGGUUGGCUGAGUGUGCUUGUGUGUAUGUGUGUGGCUGGCUGAGUGUGAUUUUGAGGGGUUAUCUG